AUUCACACACACACACACACUGUAACUCCACUCGCAUGCUGAACGUGCACAAACACAAGUCUGUCACUUUCAACAUUUUUCUAAAAUUGCUGAGCAGAACGGCCUGCGGAAUGCUGCCCCUCUCCUCCCUCCCCGCCUUCUACCCUCUCCGUCCUGCUGGGGCGUCUACAGAUGUGUGCAGAUGUGCGACUCAAGGCACCAGGGGGUAAUGGAGACGCACAGAUGUUUUGACAGCAGCUUAAGCCUGGGCUGCGGAGACAGCAGGUAGCCUGUGUGAGCGUGAGACAAGAAUCCCCAACAAGGAGGAAGGAGUGCCUAUUAAACACCCUUCCCUGUUGAGGAUGCGUCGGAGGAAAGAGGCCUGCGGUGACCAGAGCGUCCUCUCAUAAAAAACAGAUGCGGCCUUUCCCUCCAUCGCAACCCGGGCAUGAGAGAUGGACAGAAAGGGAGGAAGUGCACUGAAGUGUGUGUCCCUGUGAGAGAGAGAUUUCUGGGCAGGCAGCUGAAAGGACACCCGUGCAGUUUAAAGGGCCCUGCUCCAGCUGACCUGGCAAGAGUGUUUAUCCUAACAGCGUGGGGAGACAAAAGCAGCGCAUCCGAAUGAUGGGAAAAUCCAACAUUCAGUUCAUAUAGAGGACAACAGUCAGAGGACGGCGAGAAUGGCUGAACGGCUCUAAUGGCGAACAUGUGUUGGGGGAGCGUGCGGGGGCUCCUGCAUUCC
rnacentral:lncRNA from 1 species